UAGGUCUCAGUUCAGAUUGCAGGCUGCAACCCGCCUGCAUGAAGUCGGAAUUGCUAGUAAUCGCGGAUCAGCAUGCCGCGGUGAAUACGUUCCCGGGCCUUGUACACACCGCCCGUCACACCAUGGGAGCCGGUAAUACCCGAAGUCAGUAGUCCAACCUCGUGAGGACGCUGCCGAAGGUAGGAUUGGCGACUGGGGGUGAAGUCGUAACAAGGUACC
rnacentral:rRNA from 1 species